AUUGAACGCUGGCGGCAGGCCUAACACAUGCAAGUCGAACGGUAACAGGGAUCAGCUUGCUGAUUCGCUGACGAGUGGCGGACGGGUGAGUAAUGUCUGGGAAACUGCCUGAUGGAGGGGGAUAACUACUGGAAACGGUAGCUAAUACCGCAUAACGUCGCAAGACCAAAGAGGGGGACCUUCGGGCCUCUUGCCAUCGGAUGUGCCCAGAUGGGAUUAGCUAGUAGGUGGGGUAACGGCUCACCUAGGCGACGAUCCCUAGCUGGUCUGAGAGGAUGACCAGCCACACUGGAACUGAGACACGGUCCAGACUCCUACGGGAGGCAGCAGUGGGGAAUAUUGCACAAUGGGCGCAAGCCUGAUGCAGCCAUGCCGCGUGUAUGAAGAAGGCCCUCGGGUUGUAAAGUACUUUCAGCGGGGAGGAAGGGAGUAAAGUUAAUCCCUUUGCUCAUUGACGUUACCCGCAGAAGAAGCACCGGCUAACUCCGUG
rnacentral:rRNA from 1 species